AGUGAACGCUGGCGGUAGGCCUAACACAUGCAAGUCGAACGGCAGCACAGUAAGAGCUUGCUCUUACGGGUGGCGAGUGGCGGACGGGUGAGGAAUACAUCGGAAUCUACUUUUUCGUGGGGGAUAACGUAGGGAAACUUACGCUAAUACCGCAUACGACCUACGGGUGAAAGCAGGGGAUCUUCGGACCUUGCGCGAUUGAAUGAGCCGAUGUCGGAUUAGCUAGUUGGCGGGGUAAAGGCCCACCAAGGCGACGAUCCGUAGCUGGUCUGGGAGGAUGAUCAGCCACACUGGAACUGAGACACGGUCCAGACUCCUACGGGAGGCAGCAGUGGGGAAUAUUGGACAAUGGGCGCAAGCCUGAUCCAGCCAUACCGCGUGGGUGAAGAAGGCCUUCGGGUUGUAAAGCCCUUUUGUUGGGAAAGAAAAGCAGCAGGUUAAUACCCCGCCGUUCUGACGGUACCCAAAGAAUAAGCACCGGCUAACUUCGUG
rnacentral:rRNA from 1 species